CGGACGGGUGAGUAAUGUCUGGGAAACUGCCCGAUGGAGGGGGAUAACUACUGGAAACGGUAGCUAAUACCGCAUAACGUCGCAAGACCAAAGAGGGGGAACCUUGGGCCUCUUGCCAUCGGAUGUGCCCAGAUGGGAUUAGCUAGUAGGUGGGGUAACGGCUCACCUAGGCGACGAUCCCUAGCUGGUCUGAGAGGAUGACCAGCCACACUGGAACUGAGACACGGUCCAG
rnacentral:rRNA from 1 species